rnacentral:tRNA from 1 species
GCCCUCAUAGUUUAAUGGAUAAAACAACGGUUUCCGGAACCGUAGCUGGAGGUUCGAUUCCUCCUGGGGGCA